ensembl:lncRNA
AUUCUGAGUUCAGCUACAUUCUACAGUAGGUUACUCUCCCAUGGUACAGUAGGUUACUCUCCCAUAUGGCUAAGUUGAUUGUUCAUCUACAGUAGGUUACUCUCCCAUAUGGCUGAGUUGACUGUUCAGCUACUGUAGGUUAUUCCCCAAUAUGGCUGAGUUGACUGUUCAGCUACUGGAGGUUACUCUCCCAUGCUAGUGUAGGUUACUCUCCCAUCCUACUGUAGGUUACUCUCCUAUGCUACUGUAGGUGACUCCCCCAUGCUACUGUAGGUUACUAUCCCAUGAUACAGUAGGUUACUCUCCCAUGCAACUGUAGGUUACUCUUCCAUGCUACUGUAGGUUACUCGCCCAUGCUACUGUAGGUUACUCUCCCAUGAUACUGUAGGUUACUCGCCCAUGCUACUGUAGGUUACUCUCCCAGGCUACUGUUGGUUACUCUCCCAUGUUACUGUAGGUUACUCUCCCAUGUUACUGUAGGUUACUCUCCCAUGCUAUUGUAGGUUACUCUCCCAUGCUACUGUAGUUUACUCACCCAUGCUACUGUAGGUUACUCAUCCAUGCUACCCAUGCUACUGUAGGUUACUCAUCCAUGCUACUGUAGGUUACUCAUCCAUGCUACUGUAGGUUACUCUCCCAUGUUACUGUAGGUUACUCUCCCAUUCUACUGUAGGUUACUCUUCCAUGCUACUGUAGGCUACUCUCCUAUUCUACUGUAGGUUACUCUUCCAUGCUACUGUAGGUUACUCGCCCAUGCUUCUGUAGGUUACUCUCCCAUGCAACUGUAGGUUACUAUCUCAUGCUACUGUAGGUUACUCGCCCAUGCUACUUACUGUAUAUUACUUUCCCAUUCUACUGUAGGUUACUCUCCCAUGCUACUGUAGGUUAGUCUCCCCUGCUACUGUAGGUUACUCUCCCAUGCUACUGUAGGUUACUCUGCCAUUAUACUGGAGGUUUCUCUCCCAUGCUACUUACUGUAUAUUACUUUCCCAUUCUACUGUAGGUUACUCUCCCAUGCUACUUACUGUAGGUUACUCUCCCAUGUUACUGUAG